rnacentral:lncRNA from 1 species
GGCGGGACCAAUGGGAAGGUUUACAAAGUGUCAAUCACCCUAAGGCAGGACCAAGGGGAGCGUUUACAAAGUGUCCAUCACCCGAAGGAGGGACCAAUGGGAAGGUUUACAAAGUGUCAAUCACCCGAAGGCGGGACCAAUGGGAAGGUUUACAAAGUGUCAAUCACCCUAAGGCAGGACCAAGGGGAGCGUUUACAAAGUGUCCAUCACCCGAAGGAGGGACCAAUGGGAAGGUUUACAAAGUGUCAAUCACCCGAGGGCGGGACCAAUGGGAAGGUUUACAAAGUGUCCAUCAUCUGAAGGCGGGACCAAUGGGAAGGUUGACAAAGUGUCAAUCACCCGAGGGCAGGACCAAUGGGAAGGUUUACAAAGUGUCCAUCAUCUGAAGGCGGGACCAAUGGGAAGGUUUACAAAGUGUCAAUCACCAGAAGGCGGGACUAAUGGGAAGGUUUACAAAGUGUCCAUCAUCCGAAGGCGGGACCAAUGGGAACGUUUACAAAGUGUCAAUCACCUGAAGGCGGGACCAAUGGGAACGUUUACAAGGUGUCAAUCACCUGAAGGCGGGACCAAUGGGAACGUUGACAAGGUGACAAUCACCUGAAGGCGGGACCAAUGGGAUCGUUUACAAGGUGUCAAUCACCUGAAGGCCGGACCAAUGGGAACGUUGACAAGGUGUCAAUCACCUGAAGGCGGGACCAAUGGGAAAGUUUAC